rnacentral:rRNA from 1 species
UUUGGAAGUAAAAAGUCGUAACAAGGUCUCCGUUGGUGAACCAGCGGAGGGAUCAUUGCUGGAACGCGCCCCGGCGCACCCAAAAACCCUUUGUGAACCUAUACCUUACUGUUGCCUCGGCGUCAGGCCGGCCUUGUCACCAAGGCCCCUCGGUAACGAGGAGCAGCCCGCCGGCGGCCAAGUCAACUCUUGUUUUUACACUGAAACUCUGAGAAACAAACAUAAAUGAAUCAAAACUUUCAACAACGGAUCUCUUGGUUCUGGCAUCGAUGAAGAACGCAGCGAAAUGCGAUAAGUAAUGUGAAUUGCAGAAUUCAGUGAAUCAUCGAAUCUUUGAACGCACAUUGCGCCCUCUGGCAUUCCGGAGGGCAUGCCUGUUCGAGCGUCAUUUCACCCCUCAAGCCUGGCUUGGUGAUGGGGCACUGCUCCCUCGCGGGAGCAGGCCCUGAAAUCUAGUGGCGAGCCCGCCAGGACCCCGAGCGCAGUAGUCAAACCCUCGCUCCGGAAGGCCCUGGCGGUGCCCUGCCGUUAAACCCCCAACUCCUGAAAAUUUGACCUCGGAUCAGGUAGGAAUACCCGCUGAACUUAAGCAUAUCAAUAAGCCGGAGGAAA